CGUCAACCUUUGUAGGAAUUUCAAGCGCGAUUGGAAUAAAAUGGUUAUGAAAGAUGUUGUAGGUGAAACAAUCUCACCCCAUGGAACUUUGAUAGAUGAUGAUUAUAUUAACAGUGAUUUCUAUGCUCGAACAGCGCCGCUCAGAAGAACACCGGGUAAUCAUAACCUGAGAACUAUUGGGCCUGUAAGCCUGGAUGAUGGCGACACAGACGACGAUUAUGAAGAUGAAAUGAUCCUAAGUUCCGUUAGUAUUUAAUCUAAAGGAAAACAUGGAUCUACUCUAAACCCUUACGAAUAUGGCCUGUCCCAAAACAACUCUAAAAGAAAUUUUAAAGAGUUUUUAAUUAUGAAUUAUUGUUUUGUUAGGAUUUA